CCUACGGGGGGCAGCAGUGAGGAAUAUUGGUCAAUGGACGAGAGUCUGAACCAGCCAAGUAGCGUGAAGGAUGACUGCCCUAUGGGUUGUAAACUUCUUUUAUAUGGGAAUAAAAUGUUCCACGUGUGGGAUUUUGUAUGUACCAUAUGAAUAAGGAUCGGCUAACUCCGUGCCAGCAGCCGCGGUAAUACGGAGGAUCCGAGCGUUAUCCGGGUUUAUUGGGUUUAAAGGGAGCGUAGGUGGAUUGUUAAGUCAGUUGUGAAAGUUUGCGGCUCAACCGUAAAAUUGCAGUUGAAACUGGCAGUCUUGAGUACAGUAGAGGUGAGCGGAAUUCGUGGUGUAGCGGUGAAAUGCUUAGAUAUCACGAAGAACUCCGAUUGCGAAGGCAGUUCACUGGACUGCAACUGACACUGAGGCUCGAAAGUGUGGGUAUCAAACAGGAUUAGAUACCCCAGUAGUC
rnacentral:rRNA from 1 species